rnacentral:sRNA from 1 species
GAUGUCCGGCUGGAGCUGUCGCCUCCGCCGCCGCUGCUGCCGGUGCCGGUUGUGAGCGGGUCUCCAGUCGGCUCCUCUGGGCGUCUCAUGGCCUCUAGCAGCUCCCUGGUGCCCGACCGGCUGCGCCUGCCGCUCUGCUUCCUGGGUGUCUUUGUCUGCUAUUUUUACUAUGGGAUCCUGCAGGAAAAGAUAACAAGAGGAAAGUAUGGGGAAGGAGCCAAGCAGGAGACGUUCACCUUUGCCUUAACUUUGGUCUUCAUUCAAUGUGUGAUUAAUGCUGUGUUUGCCAAGAUCUUGAUCCAGUUUUUUGACACUGCCAGGGUGGAUCGUACCCGGAGCUGGCUCUAUGCUGCCUGUUCUAUCUCCUAUCUGGGUGCCAUGGUCUCCAGCAAUUCAGCACUACAGUUUGUCAACUACCCAACUCAGGUCCUUGGUAAAUCCUGCAAGCCAAUCCCAGUCAUGCUCCUUGGGGUGACCCUCUUGAAGAAGAAGUACCCGUUGGCCAAGUACCUGUGUGUGCUGUUAAUUGUGGCUGGAGUGGCCCUUUUCAUGUACAAACCCAAGAAAGUUGUUGGGAUAGAAGAACACACAGUCGGCUAUGGAGAGCUACUCUUGCUAUUAUCGCUGACCCUGGAUGGACUGACUGGUGUUUCCCAGGACCACAUGCGGGCUCAUUACCAAACAGGCUCCAACCACAUGAUGCUGAACAUCAACCUUUGGUCGACAUUGCUGCUGGGAAUGGGUGAGAGCCAGUUCUGCUGUUCUUCCCAUGUAUCACCAGAGGGCAGGCUGCCCUCAUCCUUUUGAUCCCUCUAGCUGUUAGUUGCCCAGACCAAGGGCCUGAAUUAGUUCCAAGAUGCCCUUUUGUUCAAGCCCUUGAGAAACCUUCCUGGAAAAACCUGCACCAGCA